UUUUUUGCUAUUUCUUGGGCUGCUGCCACGGCAUAUGGAGGUUCCCAGGCUAGGGGUCUAAUCGGAGCUGUAGCCACCAGCCUACGCCAGAGCCACAGCAACGCGGAAUCUGAGCUGCGUCUGCAACCUACAUCACAGCUCACAGCAACGCCGGAUCGUUAACCCACUGGGCAAGGGCAGGGAUCAAACCCGCAACCUCAUGGUUCCUAGUCGGAUUUGUUAACCACUGCUCCACAACGGGAACUCCUAGUUGUAGGUAAUCUUUUCUUGUAGAUUCUGGUCUUUCUCAUCAAUAGUUACUCUCUAAAGAGUUUUAAUUUUGGUGUGCUCAUGAAAGGAGGUAAGCUCAGGGUCUUCCUACUCUGCCAUCUUGGCCAAGUUCCUCUAGAAUGUUGGAUAUAAGUCCAUCUUCAGAAGCCAAGCAGGAGACAUAAAUUUGAGGUUUGUCAUCACAUAAAUGCUACUUCAAAUUCUAAGAUUAGGUAAUAUUACCAAGGGGGAUGCAUGUGGAGAUGUGUGAUUCAGACCAAGAGCUGAAUUCUGGAGCAGACCAAUGUUAAGAGCUGAGGAAAAGAGGAGCAACCAGCAAGGUACAAAGUAACCAAACCCAAGACUCAUGUAUUAAGAAGAGAGCAAUCAGCUGCAUCGAAUGCUGCUGAUGUGAGGAGACGAGGGCUGAGACCAGACCCCUGGCUUCAGGGAUCUGUGGUGAUCCUGACGAGAGAUAGUUUGAUGGAAGCAAAGAGGAAGUUCCCUUGUGGUGCAGUGGGUAAAGGACCCAUCAUCCCUGCAGCUAUGGCAUAGGUUGCAACUGUGGUGCAGGUUCAAUUCCUGGUCCAAGAACUUCCAUAUGCCAUGUGUGCAGGGGGUGGGAAGCAAAGAUUUGAGGUGGAGGCUGACAAAUGAAGUAGGAGGAAAGGUAGUUGGGGGGAUUUUAAGAAGGAAGAGGCAACUGUGUACUUGUAUUACGCUACUGGGGAUGAUCCAGGAGGAUGCUCUCUUGCCCUUGUUAAGUGUGCUCAUGGGCUCCAAGUGUAACUUUUUAGACAUCAUCAGAUGAAAUCCAGUCCUUCUGUUCAACCACACAGGGUAAGUGCACUGUCCUUGGCUGUUCAGUUAUACAGUUGACUACUAGUCAAAACUAUGCUUAUCCCUGCAGCUGAAAAGCAGAGUAUUGUUCACUGCUCCACAGAAGUUUCUAACACUCAACUGACAUUCACAAAGUGUGACUCUGGAUUCAGGUAGGAUCUGACCUUCCCGCCUGGUUCUCUCACACACUGACUAGUUGGAUUACAGUAAAUGCCAUCAUUCUCAGAAUGCACUUACCUGGUGCUUCCCAUCUCUGUUCCUGGUUAUAUAUCUCAGGGUACAACAAGCCUCCAAUAUCAUCUCCUCCCUACACUUCUUUGGAGUAUGCAAGAGGUAAAAUUUAGCAUGGAAGGAGGCUGAAGAGAAUGAACACUGCUCUGGUUGCUUCUAAAAGCAGCACAUGCUGCUGAGGGAUGGGUGCUAGGUUUUCUGACUGAAACAUGUACAUGUAAGAGAAAUUUGUCUGCCUUCCUCUUUCAAGUAGCUGUCACUGAGGUAAGGCAUGAGUAUCC
rnacentral:lncRNA from 1 species